GUGGCGAACGGGUGAGUAACACAUCGGAACGCAUCCUGUAAUGGGGGAUAACCUGGCGAAAGCCAGGCUAAUACCGCAUACGUCCUGAGGGAGAAAGCGGGGGAUCGGAGACGACCUCGCGUUAUAGGAGCGGCCGAUGUCGGAUUAGCUGGUUGGUGGGGUAAAGGCCCACCAAGGCGACGAUCCGUAGCUGGUCUGAGAGGAUGAUCAGCCACACUGGGACUGAGACACGGCCCAGACUCCUACGGGAGGCAGCAGUGGGGAAUUUUGGACAAUGGGCGCAAGCCUGAUCCAGCCAUUCCGCGUGAGUGAAGAAGGCCUUCGGGUUGUAAAGCUCUUUCGGCCGGGAAGAAAUCGCUCUGGUUAAUACCUGGGGUGGAUGACGGUACCGGAAGAAGAAGCACCGGCUAACUACGUGCCAGCAGCCGCGGUAAUACGUAGGGUGCGAGCGUUAAUCGGAAUUACUGGGCGUAAAGCGUGCGCAGGCGGCCGCAUAAGACAGAUGUGAAAUCCCCGGGCUCAACCUGGGAACUGCGUUUGUGACUGUGUGGCUCGAGUGCGGCAGAGGGGGGUGGAAUUCCACGUGUAGCAGUGAAAUGCGUAGAGAUGUGGAGGAACACCGAUGGCGA
rnacentral:rRNA from 1 species